UACGAAGGGGGCUAGCGUUGCUCGGAAUUACUGGGCGUAAAGGGCGCGUAGGCGGAUACUUAAGUUAGAGGUGAAAGCCCAGGGCUCAACCCUGGAACAGCCUUUAAUACUGGGUAUCUUGAGUUCGGGAGAGGUGAGUGGAACUCCGAGUGUAGAGGUGAAAUUCGUAGAUAUUCGCAAGAACACCAGUGGCGAAGGCGGCUCACUGGCCCGAUACUGACGCUGAGGCACGAAAGCGUGGGGAAGCAAACAGGGAUUAAGAAACCCCAGUAACGUC
rnacentral:rRNA from 1 species